rnacentral:tRNA from 1 species
GCCGACGUAGCUCAACGGCAGAGCAUCCGGCUCAUAACCGGAAGGCAUCCGGAUCGACACCGGGCGUCGGCACCA